UACAUGUGGGGCAAGCGUUGUUCGGAAUUACUGGGCAUAAAGGGUGCGUAGGCGGCUUGUUAAGUCAGGGGUGAAAGUUUUCGGCCCAACCGGAAAAUUGCCUUUGAUACUGCCUUGCUCGAGUACUGGAGAGGAGAUUGGAAUUUACGGUGUAGCAGUGAAAUGCGUAGAUAUCGUAAGGAAGACCAGUGGCGAAGGCGAAUCUCUGGACAGUUACUGACACUGAGGCACGAAGGCCAGGGGAGCAAACGGG
rnacentral:rRNA from 1 species